UCCUCUUUCAGGAUCUCAAGCCUGUCACCCUUUCACAGAUAGAGCUCGACACUGUUGGGCAGCUUAGAUAAGUGAUGUAGGGCGGUGUGGGUAAGCUCCGGGAUGGUGGCUUCGGACGGCCUGAAUUUGAAUCCUGCACCUGUCAUCUACUCACUGAAUGGCUUCAUUUACACCAUCUUCCUUGACUCUUGGGGACAUCACACAGGCUAGUGCAUAGGACUGCCCACUCAGUGACCAAAUAUCCUGAGGAGGUGCUGCCAAGUCUUCCUGUUGUUCCUGGGUGGUUCUACACCACAGAGGCUUUCUGGGAAGCAACGGGCAGCACCAAGCAUCAUGACAAAAGUGUCCUGCCAGACCCAGGUGUUUCCUACAUCCACAACAGCACCAAAGCAGCUACAAGUGUUCAACUCUGACCUCAUAGACUUCCAUCAAGCUGGACCUGCACCUUCCCUCCCAGCCAAGGAUGUUCUUGCAGACCCUGGACAGCAUCAAAGCAGCCAGUUCUUCCUGGACUUGGCCAGCAUUUCAGCCUUUUGACUUCCCUACAGUGCCCCCAGUGUCAGCAGGAAGUAGCCAAAAGAGGGAUCUACGCCCAUUAUUCACUUAUUAUUAAAAAAAGGCUGGAAUGGUGUGGUUCAGGACCAGGACAGGCAGCUCCAGGUUCUCCCAGUGUUCCUCAGACUCUACCUGCUGCCUUGCAUGGCUGGCAACUCUCUACUGACAACCCUCUACCCUAAAUUUGCCAGGGCAGAGGCUUCUCUUUCUCCUCUUGACCAUGUAAUCUGACCAUUUUGUUGCUAUUAUUUCUCUCUCUCUCAACCCCUUGCAUGGCAACCAAGAGCUGCUUCCAAUGAACCUAAAUGUAUAUACUUUAACUUACCUUACAUGAGAAGCAGCCCAGUUCCUCAUUUUUUAAUUAUAGAAAAAGGGAGGAAUAUAAGUAUUUUGGCACCUGCUUCUGGGUUGCCUAGCAACCUAUGACAUCAUCAAGUGUGCCAGCCAGGUGGCCACACCUGGAAGGUGUGGUUACCUUCCUCCUUAAAGGGACCAGCCUGCCAUGUGGUCCCCCCUCUUGGCCUUUCUUGCUCUUGGCCUCUUGCCUCUUGCCCUCUCCCCUUUCUCUGUUGGGGCACCCUCCUCUUUCUUUCCCCCCCCCCCCAUCAUGUCCUGCUCUCCCUUCUCUUUUCUCUUCAUCUCCAUCUAAUAAACCUCUUUCAUAUAAAA